UACGUAGGUGGCAAGCGUUGUCCGGAUUUACUGGGCGUAAAGAGCGCGCAGGCGGUCGAUCAAGUCGCGUGUGAAAGCCCCCGGCUCAACUGGGGAGGGUCACGCGAUACUGAUCGACUCGAAGGCAGGAGAGGGUAGUGGAAUUCCCCGGUGUAGUGGUGAAAAUGCGUAGAUAUCGGGAGGAACACCAGUGGCGAAGGCGACUACCUGGCCUGUUCUUGACGCUGAGGCGCGAAAGCUAGGGGAGCAAACGGG
rnacentral:rRNA from 1 species